rnacentral:rRNA from 2 species
AGAAGCUUGCUUCUAUGACGUUAGCGGCGGACGGGUGAGUAACACGUGGGCAACCUGCCUGUAAGACUGGGAUAACUUCGGGAAACCGAAGCUAAUACCGGAUAGGAUCUUCUCCUUCAUGGGAGAUGAUUGAAAGAUGGUUUCGGCUAUCACUUACAGAUGGGCCCGCGGUGCAUUAGCUAGUUGGUGAGGUAACGGCUCACCAAGGCAACGAUGCAUAGCCGACCUGAGAGGGUGAUCGGCCACACUGGGACUGAGACACGGCCCAGACUCCUACGGGAGGCAGCAGUAGGGAAUCUUCCGCAAUGGACGAAAGUCUGACGGAGCAACGCCGCGUGAGUGAUGAAGGCUUUCGGGUCGUAAAACUCUGUUGUUAGGGAAGAACAAGUACGAGAGUAACUGCUUGUACCUUGACGGUACCUAACCAGAAAGCCACGGCUAACUACGUGCCAGCCGCCGCGGUAAUACA